rnacentral:rRNA from 1 species
CAGUCGCCACGGGAAUACGUAGGGUGCAAGCGUUAAUCGGAAUUACUGGGCGUAAAGCGUGCGCAGGCGGUUUGUUAAGACAGAUGUGAAAUCCCCGGGCUUAACCUGGGAACUGCAUUUGUGACUGGCAAGCUAGAGUAUGGCAGAGGGGGGUGGAAUUCCGCGUGUAGCAGUGAAAUGCGUAGAUAUGCGGAGGAACGCCGAUGGCGAAGGCAGCCCCCUGGGCCAAUACUGACGCUCAUGCACGAGAGCGUGGGGAGCAAACAGGAUUAGAUACCCCUGUAGUCCCUGUCUCUUAUAC